rnacentral:rRNA from 1 species
CCCGCACAAGCGGCGGAGCAUGCGGAUUAAUUCGAUGCAACGUGUAGAACCUUACCUGGGUUUGACAUGGAUCGGGAGUGCUCAGAGAUGGGUGUGCCUCUUUUGGGGUCGGUUCACAGGUGGUGCAUGGCUGUCGUCAGCUCGUGUCGUGAGAUGUUGGGUUAAGUCCCGCAACGAGCGCAACCCUUGUUCACUGUUACCAGCACGUUAUGGUGGGGACUCAGUGGAGUCCGCCGGGGUCAACUCGGAGGAAGGUGGGGAUGACGUCAAGUCAUCAUGCCCCUUAUGUCCAGGGCUUCACGCAUGCUGCAAUGGCUGGUACAGAGAGUGGCGAGCCUGUGAGGGUGAGCGAAUCUCGGAAAGCCGGUCUCAGUUCGGAUUGGGGUCUGCAACUCGACCUCAUGAAGUCGGAGUCGUUAGUAAUCGCAGAUCAGCAACGCUGCGGUGAAUACGUUCCCGGGGCUUGUACACACCGCCCGUCAAGUCAUGAAAGUUGGUAACACCCGAAGCCGGUGGCCUAACCGUUGUGGGGGAGCCGUCGAAGGUGGGACUGGUGA